GUAUUGACUACCUUACUGUGUGGAUUGGUAGUGAGUCGGAUGACGUUGAAGAUGACAGUAUUGACUACCUUACUGUGUGGACUGGUAGUGAGGUGGACGACGGUGAAGAUGACAGUAUUGACUACCUUACUGUGUGGUGAUAUGAAUUCAAGGACUGGUAGUGAGAUGGAUGACGUUGAAGAUGACAGUAUUGACUACCUUACUGUGUGGACUGGUAGUGAGGUGGACGACGGUGAAGAUGACAGUAUUGACUACCUUACUGUGUGGACUGGUAGUGAGUCGGAUGACGUUGAAGAUG